GAGCGCGCCGAGCCUGGGAGGACGCGGCGCCCGCAGUGGCCUGGGGGCUCCGGGGGCUCCGUCAGCUCCUCUGCUUCCUGCUGCUGCACAGCCGCCCAGGGGGCUGCAGAGACAUUAGUGGCCACGAUGGUCAGGACCAAGUGGGAGUGGGGCAGCUCUGGCCCUUCCAAGGACUUACCACCCAAUCUUCCAGAACUUGCAUGUUGUACUCCAGCAGAUUGUGCCUCAAGGGCUUCUUUGAGCUCCCCGCCCCCAUCGUAGGCUGCAACCUUGUCGCUGAUUAAGACCUUGUGUGAAACUGCUCUACGCCAUUGCCCUCCCACUGCCCUCCAAAGCGGGGCAAAGAGGGUGGUUCUAGGAUGAGCCAAAUCUGGGUCAUUAAAGUGGACUU